GAUGAACGCUGGCGGCGUGCCUAAUACAUGCAAGUCGAGCGAACAGACGAGGAGCUUGCUCCUCUGACGUUAGCGGCGGACGGGUGAGUAACACGUGGAUAACCUACCUAUAAUACUGGGAUAACUUCGGGAAACCGGAGCUAAUACCGGAUAAUAUAUUGAACCGCAUGGUUCAAUAGUGAAAGACGGUUUUGCGGUCACGUAUAGAUGGAUCCGCGCCGCAUUAGCUAGUUGGUAAGGUAACGGCUUACCAAGGCAACGAUGCGUAGCCGACCUGAGAGGGUGAUAGGCCACACUGGAACUGAGACACGGUCAAGACUCCUGCGGGAGGCCGCAGUAGGGAAUCUUCCGCAAUGGGCGAAAGCCUGACGGAGCAACGCCGCGUGAGUGAUGACGGUCUUCGGAUCGUAAAACUCUGUUAUUAGGGAAGAACAAAUGUGUAAGUAACUAUGCACGUCUUGACGGUACCUAAUCAGAAAGCAACGGCUAACUACGUG
rnacentral:rRNA from 1 species